GGUAGCGUGGCCGAGCGGUCUAAGGCGCUGGUUUAAGCCACCAGUCUCGAAAGAGGCAUGGGUUCGAAUCCCAUCGCUGCCA
rfam:Nematostella vectensis strain CH2 x CH6 NEMVEscaffold_2070_Cont40162, whole genome shotgun sequence.